rnacentral:lncRNA from 1 species
AUCAAAUCAGUGCAGAAAUUCAGUGUGCUUUGUAGAAUCAAAUUGACAGAGUUUUGGCGCUUUUGAACUUAUGUAUAUCUCUAUCAAAUCUUCAAGUCUUCACUCCUUUAUAUAGAGGCGUGAAAGAGACGUUGAGAUAGUCAGCACGUCUAAAGAGUCGUUUGAAAUCCUUUGAUUAUCCACCAGUGAUCCUUUGCCUGAUUUGGGUGUAGUCCUUUGAAGAAUAAACUUCAAAUUCAUUCCCAUCUUGAGUUGUACAAAU